UUCACUUCACGUCCCGCCGCAAGGCGUACGCAAAAUCAUCUAGUAUUAUUUAUACGAAACAUUGAGGGGUUGACUGUAAUUCCGUAAUUAACAUUAACAUUGCAUCAAUUGGUAAUCGAUACGAAAACUUGAACAACAUUCUCUAGGUUUUACCAUCCAGGUUUCAAAGACAAUGGCCGGAGGAGGUGUAUUCAAGCUCGUCAAGCCAAACAAACGUCCUCAAGCCACCGAUAUCCAAGCCGCCGCCGCUUGGGGCGUCGCCGCCUUCACCACCGCCGUUUGGAUCGUUCAGCCAUUUGAUUGGGUGAAGAAGACCUUCUUUGAAAAAGCAGAGCCAGAAAAUUAAAUAGAGUUGUGAGAAAUGGCUCGGAUAUGGUUUUGCCUGUGUUUUCUUUCCUCUGAUGAGAGAACUUUGGGCAGGUUUUGGUUUUAAUAAUAAUAAUAAUGUAAAACUCCAAUAUAUGUUGAUUAUGGUUUAUUGAAGUUGAGAAAAGAUAUACCAUGGUUUUUGUUGUCAUCAUGCUUUCUUUCUUGCAAUUAAGAGUUCGAGUACAAAUUUUAGAACUGCCA